CCCCUCCCAGAGCCGGGGAGAGAACCCAGGAGUCCAGGCUCCCAGCCCCUGCUGCUCUAACCACUAGCCCCCAUUGCCCUCCCAGAGCUGGGGAGAGAACCCAGGAGUCCUGGCUUGCAGCCUUUCGGGGUAACGACUCCGUGGGGACCCGGAGGCGCAGGGCUCGCGUUCCUUGCCACGCCUGUUCUCCUUGCCGGUUCCUGGCACUGGAGUGAGCCGGAUCGUCCGGUGCGAGCCCCCGGGGGGUUGCACAAAGCCCGCGAAAUUCUGCCCCGUGGUUUUGGGGAUGCCGAAUCGCCGGUGUGUAUCGGGAAACGGAGGACCGUUCGCGCCUGGCCGCCUAAAAGCGCGCUGGCGAGCUUUCCGCGCGUCAUGGGUUGUUUUGGAAAGAGCCGGCGUGCCGGGGUUACUGUCGAUGGUGCAAUCCUGGCCUGUGUCAAGCCGUGCGAUUGGCGUAAUAAAAAAAUACAGUAGGGCAGAGGUUA